CCAAAAUCCCUAAAUCAAAUGGCCGAAGAAGAAUCUGGACAACCUAUAGUCAAUUUGCAUGCAUCUCAUUGUGCAGUCAUGAACUUAGGGCUCCAAUUUUUGUUUUAUAUUCAGUAGUUUUGGAAGGAUUGAAAAAUAAAAUUAAGGAUUUUCUUUCCCCAUAUGACUACAGGUGAUCCACCCCAACAAAAGACAAGUCAAGGAAAUGAGAAAAAGAAUGAAGAUGAGAAUAUUACUCAAGGCGAUCCACCUCAAGAGGAGAGAAGUCUAAGAAUUGAGAUAGAGGAAUAACUCAAGAAUAUUACAAAAGGCGAUCCACCUCAACAGGAGAGAAGUCGAAAAAUUGGCAUAAAGAAAAAAUUCAAGAAUAUAGCACAAGAUGAUGCACCUCAACGGGAGAGAAGUCGAAAAAUUCAGAAAAACAAAGAACUCAAGAAUAUUACGCAAGGUUAGUAUGAUUUUCUUUGAAAUCAAUUAUUUUCCACAAGUGUUUUAUGUUUUCGCGUGGUUUCCGAAGGCA